rnacentral:lncRNA from 1 species
AAACUCGAGCACCGAAAAAUUUCAGAAAUCACGAUCGCUGGAAAAGAAUAGGAAAGAAUCAUAAGAAUUGUGUCAGAUCAGCGAUUUGAGUUGUGUACCAGAACCAUAACCUCAAAAUAUCAUACCUGCACCGUAAACAACACCACGUUGCCAAAAUUGCUUUGUUUAUGUUGUCAAAGGCAAUCUUGAAAGGAUCCUAAAGGGCUCGAGCCGUUGGAUCCUUUGAAGUUUAUGAAUAUUUGCCAAAAAAAUAAUUAGCUCUAGUUCUACAGAGGUAAUUUUAUGUCAAGUUUUUAUGUAAGUGAUAAAAUACUAUUUUGUUUGUUAACUUGGCAAAGCUCUCCACCAGUUUCUGUUGAACGCCGAAAGCCGCUAAUCGAUGAGUUGUUUCCAUCAUCUCCCGAGCGGCCGUCGGGCUAGUGUUGGGGAUAUUUUCAAGAAUACCGAUAUUUCAAACGAUACGAUAUUUCUGAAAAUAUCGAAUUUUGGGUCGAUACGAUAUUUCUGAAAAUAUCGAAUUUUUGGGUCGAUACGAUAUUCAAAAUAUCGAUAUUCUAAAAUAUCGGUACGAAAAUAUCGUAUGUAUGUACAUUUCUUCGCUUGAUGUCGCUCGCGCCCAACAUCUGUAUUUUCGAUACGAUAUUCGCGGAAAAUAUCGAUAUCGACAAAAUAUCGUCAGGAAAAUAUCGAUACGAUAUUUCGACCGAUAUUUAGAAAAAUAUCGAUAUUCUGAAAAUAUCGAUAUAAUAUCCCCAACACUACCGUCGGCCAUUCUUCACGGAAAGAUUGUGAAUCCAUCGAGAUGGCAGAUGUAGAGAAGGCUGCAAAGGCUAAAAAGGCAGCCAAAAAGCCUAAAGCUGACAAGCCGAAAAAAGGUUCAGAUGCACCAAGGAAACCACGUCCUGUGGCUAAAAACAGGCCACCGAAGAAGCCGCUAGUAUUGGCGCCACCUCCCAAGGCCCCAAAGAAAGUCAAAGCUGUGAAACCAAGGCUCCCUGGCUCUGAGUUCAAGAGGCAGCAAAAGGUGAAGGCUCAGAGGAGAAGAGAAGAAGCGUCUAGAUGCCAGACUCAAGAAGUCAAGUCAAAGAAGGCGAGGUUAAAGAAAACCGUCUUCCAGCUUAAAAGCAAAAACGCCUUGCCGAAAGGGAAGAAGAGGCGUCAUCAAGAGAAAGCCAAGUACAGAGCAGCCGUUGAGCUUGCUGUUGGAAAGACCUUGAACCCACGACUAACGGAAAUCCUCAAGACUUCUCUGUUCAAAAUUCAAGACAAGAAGUUCGAAAAGGAAUAACUAAGGACGUGAAAGAUCUGUAAGUUCAGUUAGUCUCUUAUUUAAUUUCUGCAAGCAUGUGUUACUCAUAUGAUGGCUAGUUUCAAAUGAAGGAGACUGUAUUUCCUUUCAGAAUCAUUUCAAACAGUACCGCUCCUUUUCUUCCGGACUAUCUACGUUUUACUCUAUUUUUACAUCAUGUUUUUGGUUGAAUCAUAAAGGACAUUGCUUUCAACACCGAGGAAUUCGUCCCUGGCUAAAUUUCGAGAUUUUUUUUGUAUAAUGCUCCUUACAGUCUCCUGAGCUUGACAAGCUUUUAAUAAAGAACUUUCUAUUUGCUAGACUCAAGAAAAUCAGGCCUAUCAAGCGCAUUUUGUGGCAAUUCAACAUGUGUUAAAUCUACGUUUUACUCUAUUUUUACAUCAUGUUUUUGGUUGAAUCAUAAAGGACAUUGCUUUCAACACCAAGAAUUCGUCACCGGCUAAAUUUCGAGAUUUUUUUAUAUAAUGCUCCUCUCAGUCUCCUGAGCUUGACAAGCUUUUAAUAUUGAACUUUCUAUGUGCUAGACUCAAGAAAAUCAGGCCUAUCAAGCGCAUUUUGUGGCAAUUCAACAUGUCGACGGUGAAACUACCAGACCACGUACCUCGUUUGUGGUGUUUAAAAAUCUCCACUCACAUUUUAUUUUUUUGAAGGAGAUCAAAUCAAUAUCAUAUCUCACAAUUUUCACAUAUUUUUCUCCGCACAAAGAGGAAAAAUCACGGAAGUUUUCACGAAUUGACGUUGAGUAGUUUUCUAUUUAAAAAAUAAAGUAUGACAGGAAGUCUGCAACGUCGCAAACCGAGAUACGUGGUUUGGUAGUUUCACCGUCAAUGUGUUAUCAUACAGAGAAGUUGCUCAGUUGCUGAGUCGAAGAUGCGGGAUCUUUUGUCCUAAACCGAGUUGAUACCCUGUCUUAUCUUCCUGGCUGGCGUGGGACAGGGAAAGAGGAUCUUGCCUAUAUCAUUGACCUUUUUCUUCUUGAUAAUGCAUUUCUACCUGCUGAAAAAUGCAUUUUUCUAACCAGAUUCCUUUUUUUUCUUUUUUCUGAAAGUUUUGUUUUGAAAGUUGGUUUUACUCAGAGAUCGGAAGGAACAUCACCUAAAAUAAUAUUUUAAUCUUCAAUUGAGCCAGUGCCAAACUUUUUUGUAUCGCAUGCAAUGUCCUUUGGAAUGGUUUCCAACCUGUAUGUUCUUUAUUUUCUCUCUCUCUCUCUUUCUAACUCAAAGCAUCUUACUCCUAACCUCCAAGUGGCUGUCUAGUAGAUAAACAGAAAUUUCUCGGUGAGCUGAGCUCAAGAUAUUUUUGACUUCAAUAGAACAGAAAACUAAUAAACUUAAAUCUAAAGAAAGAGAAUUUACUUACGCCUAGUCUUCUGUAUUGAGGAGAGACCCUCUUGUAUGCAGUCCUCUGAAACCUCAAGUUGGCCAGAUGGUGGAUCAGUUUUUUACUUCCUGUUUGUAAGAAUGGCUGACAAAUUCUUUCACCCUGAAUUGAGGAUUAGUGUCUUCAGAAACUUGUUGAAUAAACGGUGGUCAAAUUUUAAAGAAAAUUUAGGGUGAUGACAAGAAACAAAAAUAUUUACUUCACUUGAAACUAACUUGGCUCUGGCAGCUUUUCAUUGAGUGAUUAGUGAAGCUUAUCUAACUAUCAUUUAUCUGAUGCAAGCCCCCUCCAAGAUCCUGUUGAGCUGAUGAUUAUAAUUUGAUCAUUAUCUGUCCAUAUCCAGCAUUAUUUACUUCUUCUUCUUCUUAUCUUAACGGAUUUUCUAUUACCUAUAGUUUUUAUUCCUUGCAAAGAGUAUUCAUUACUCUUGUUGUACUGCAUGGAUAGAUUCAGUUGGAAUCUGCACUAAACUGCAAUUCUCAUUGCCCAAUUUACUCUCAUAUCUUUUAAUUUUUUUUUCUAUUUAUUAUUUUAAAUUGAACCAAAGUAUCCAACUCAUUCACACUUGCCGUGAGUUUACCCUAGAUUUUGAAGAAUACACUCGAAAAAUUUCAGGUUUAGUGUUGCCUAGUUUUAUAUCUGAAUAAUAAAACAUCAGGAAAAGCAACAGUUGAUUCCAGUCUAGUUUUUCCACGGCUCGACCUGGGAAAUUUCGUGUUUGUCUGAUGGAUGAGACAAGAAUAAAAGGGAAUGAAGAUUUAUGAUCGGUGGGCUAUCUUGUUUGUUCGACUGAUAUCCGUUACAAGCUCCUUAUCCGGCCAACCAAUUGCUCAGUGAUAGGCACCUCCUUGGUAGCUGCCGAGUGGACCAUUUUGCUCGACGAGGAUCUUGCAUCUCGAUCUCAGUGGACGGAAGAAGAUAGCCCACUAAUCUCUGUCGCAUCUACAGGCCUAACACUAUAUUAUGAUGAUCGGCCCGCAGUCUGAAAGAAUGUCUUAAAAUCAGAGGAAAGAAAUCCGUGCAAAUGGCUGUAAAUUGAAGAAAAUACUGGAUUAUUUUAAAGGCACCGCAACACUUUCAAUGAUAGGUUGAGCAGGGUUGCCGCAGUCAGGGAAUUCAGGGAAAACCUGGAAAAGUCAGGGGAAAAAAAGUGCUCUGGAAAACCUGGAAAAGUCAGGGAAUUUGACCAAAAACAGCUAGAAGUCAGGGAAAAAUUGACAAUUUUCACGAGUUGCUUAAAGCAUCAAAAUUAAAAGAAAAAGUUAAAAACCCUUUUUGUAUUUCCUAAUGUUCUACAAUUAAUUUCUGACUCCUUAGCUUAAGCGCGUUUCAAAUGAGACGCUAUAUUAGUGCGAUGGUAGCUAGCAAGGUGUAAAUUUGGCUGUGCGAUCAUGGCGCACGUUCUCAAAGGUCAGGGAAUUUCUCCAUUUUUCCAAAUUUUUGUGGCAACCCUGGUUGAGGUUUUCCAAAAUUUCUUUAUUUUGUAGUUCUUUUCUCGUUCGUUUAUUUUGCACUUAAUCUUAAUCUGUUUCUCUCAGUUGGAAAAGAGGAGUCCUCAAUACAAAUUGUACAAGUCCAAGAAAGGCAAAGUCCAUAAGGUCUGGCUUCAAAAAACAAAGAAGGUCUUCAACAUCUACAACAG